rnacentral:rRNA from 1 species
UACGUAGGGUGCAAGCGUUGUCCGGAAUUAUUGGGCGUAAAGAGCUCGUAGGCGGUUUGUCGCGUCUGCUGUAAAAACUCGGGGCUUAACUCCGGGCCUGCAGUGGGUACGGGCAGACUAGAGUGCGGUAGGGGAGACUGGAAUUCCUGGUGUAGCGGUGAAAUGCGCAGAUAUCAGGAGGAACACCGGUGGCGAAGGCGGGUCUCUGGGCCGUAACUGACGCUGAGGAGCGAAAGCGUGGGGAGCGAACAGG